rnacentral:rRNA from 1 species
CCCUACGGGGUGCAGCAGGCAGGGAUGGCGGGGAAGGAUGCCGAUCUGCAAAAGGCUAUCGAGAGGCUGGACCGGCUGAAGGACAAGACCUCCAGAGAGAUCAAAAGGGACCAUGAGAUCCGAAUACGGGACAAGGAGAUCGGACGGCUGCGCUCUAUCCUGCGCUCGGAGAGGAAGUACACCAAGAAGCUGAAGAGGACGGUGGCCGCCCGGAAGAAGGCGGAGAGGAUUGAGGAGGUCAAAGGGCUGCGCCGUCUGAAGCCGGUGGCCGCCUUCUCCAAAGAGGCGGUGCUGGUCGCUUCGGAGCGCUACAAUUUGGCGGGGGAGC